rnacentral:rRNA from 1 species
UACGUAGGUGGCAAGCGUUGUCCGGAUUCACUGGGCGUAAAGCGCGCGCAGGCGGUCUUCUACGUCUGGGGUGAAAACCCGGGGCUCAACCCCGGGACUGCCUUGGAUACGGGAAGACUUGAGGAUCGGAGAGGCAAGGGGAAUUCCACGUGUAGCGGUGAAAUGCGUAGAGAUGUGGAGGAACACCUGUGGCGAAGGCGGCUCACUGGCUCGUAACUGACGCUCAGGCGCGACAGCGUGGGGAUCAAACAGG